rnacentral:rRNA from 1 species
UACGUAGGGGGCAAGCGUUGUUCGGAAUUACUGGGCGUAAAGGGCUUGUAGGUGGCCAACUAAGUCAGACGUGAAAUCCCUCGGCUUAACCGGGGAACUGCGUCUGAUACUGGAUGGCUAGAGUGUGGGAGAGGGAUGCGGAAUUCCAGGUGUAGCGGUGAAAUGCGUAGAUAUCUGGAGGAACACCGGUGGCGAAGGCGGCAUCCUGGACCACGACUGACACUGAAAAGCGAAAGCCAGGGGAGCAAACGGG